UACAAGAAGGUUAAUGGCAAGGAAAGAGGACCCUCUUUGUUCCAUGAUCUUAGCCUUGCCGGCAAGGCCGUUGUUGACGGUGGCAUGAGGUUGGGCCAUAUCGAACCAUCGCCUUGCCCGAGGAUGGGUGAUCCAAGGCCACCGGGUGAGGACGAGAAUGCUCAUCUGAAGAAAGGGAUCAAGUUUGGUUGUUUGCAAGAUUUCAAGAUAUGGUUGAGUGACUAUGCCAUUCGGAACCAUAGGCCGUUCGUUGUUGGUCAUUCCAACAAAAAAUUGCGCUACACCAUCAAAUGUGACAAAGAAGGUUGCCCAUGGAAGGUCCAUGGAAGAAAGAUCAAGGAAACCGGGCAAUGGGAGUUGAAGAGUUGUGUGGCCACCCACAAGUGCAUACCGCCGGAGAAAGUGGACCGAAGCAAGGGACACCGCCAACUCAUGUCCGAGUAUCUAGGCUAUAAAUUGUUGAAUGAGAUAUCCCAUGAUCCAACCGUGAAGGUGAAAUUCCUCAUGAGUUCGGUCUUCGAAAGAUUCGGGUACCCGGUCAAGUAUGGAAAGGCGUGGAUGGCGAAGGAAAACGCUAUAAGGAUGUUGCAUGGUGAUUAUGAGGCCGCAUAUAACAUUCUUCCAAAGACGUUGGCAGCCAUUGCUCAUCAGAAAAUGCACCAAAAAGCCACGGACCGAUGG
rnacentral:rRNA from 1 species